rnacentral:rRNA from 1 species
UAUCCGGAUUUAUUGGGUUUAAAGGGAGCGUAGGUGGACAGUUAAGUCAGUUGUGAAAGUUUGCGGCUCAACCGUAAAAUUGCAGUUGAUACUGGCUGUCUUGAGUACAGUAGAGGUGGGCGGAAUUCGUGGUGUAGCGGUGAAAUGCUUAGAUAUCACGAAGAACUCCGAUUGCGAAGGCAGCUCACURGACUGYMACUGACACUGAUGCUCGAAAGUGUGGGUAUCAAACAGGAUUAGAUACCCUGGUAGUCCACACAGUAAACGAUGAAUACUCGCUGUUUGCGAUAUACAGUAAGYGGCCAAGCGAAAGCAUUAAGUAUUCCACCUGGGGAGUACGCCGGCAACGGUGAAACUCAAAGGAAUUGACGGGGGCCCGCACAAGCGGAGGAACAUGUGGUUUAAUUCGAUGAUACGCGAGGAACCUUACCCGGGCUUAAAUUGCAWYWGAAUAUAUUGGAAACAGUAUAGYCGUAAGRCWRWUGUGAAGGUGCUGCAUGGUUGUCGUCAGCUCGUGCCGUGAGGUGUCGGCUUAAGUGCCAUAACGAGCGCAACCCUUAUCUUUAGUUACUAACAGGUCAUGCUGAGGACUCUAGAGAGACUGCCGUCGUAAGAUGUGAGGAAGGUGGGGAUGACGUCAAAUCAGCACGGCCCUUACGUCCGGGGCUACACACGUGUUACAAUGGGGGGUACAGAAGGCAGCUACCUGGUGACAGGAUGCUAAUCCCAAAAGCCUCUCUCAGUUCGGAUCGAAGUCUGCAACCCGACUUCGUGAAGCUGGAUUCGCUAGUAAUCGCGCAUCAGCCAUGGC